rnacentral:rRNA from 1 species
AUAGAUCAUUCAAGUUUCUGACCUAUCAGCUUUCGACGGUAGUGUAUUGGACUACCGUGGCAGUGACGGGUAACGGGGAAUUAGGGUUCGAUUCCGGAGAGGGAGCCUGAGAAACGGCUACCACAUCUAAGGAAGGCAGCAGGCGCGCAAAUUACCCAAUCCUGACUCAGGGAGGUAGUGACAAGAAAUAACAACACUGGAACUUUUAUUUCUAGUGAUUGGAAUGAUGGGAAUUUAAACCCCUUUCAGAGUAACAAUUGGAGGGCAAGUCUGGUGCCAGCAGCCGCGGUAAUUCCAGCUCCAAUAGCGUAUAUUAAAGUUGUUGCAGUUAAAAAGCUCGUAGUUGGAUGUCUGCUGAAAGCAAUCAGUCGCCCUAUUUGUAGGGUGUGCACUUGAUGAAUCUGGCAUUUUGUCCAAUGAGNCNGACUCGGGCAAGCNUCUGUUCGAUAAGGAUACUGUCUUUGAGAAAUUAGAGUGUUUGACGAGGCUAAUGCCUUGAUCUCGAGCAUGGAAUAACAAUAUAGGAUUCGGUUCUACUUUGUUGGUUUCUAGGCUGAAAUAAUGAUUAAUAGGACAGUUGGGGGCAUUCGUAUUUAACUGUCAGAGGUGAAAUUCUUAGAUUUGUUAAAGACGAACUACUGCGAAAGCAUUUGCCAAAGAUGUUUUCAUUAAUCAAGAACGAAAGUUAGGGGCUCGAAGACGAUCAGAUACCGUCCUAGUCUUAACCAUAAACUAUGCCGACUAGAGAUAGGAAAAUGUCAUUUUGCUGACUUCUCCUGCACCUUAUGAGAAAUCAAAGU